rnacentral:rRNA from 1 species
AUUAAAGAUUUAUCGGUAAACGAUGGGGAUGCGUUCCAUUAGGUAGUAGGCGGGGUAACGGCCCACCUAGCCGACGAUGGAUAGGGGUUCUGAGAGGAAGGUCCCCCACAUUGGAACUGAGACACGGUCCAAACUCCUACGGGAGGCAGCAGUGAGGAAUAUUGGUCAAUGGACGGGAGUCUGAACCAGCCAAGUAGCGUGAAGGAUGAAGGUUCUAUGGAUUGUAAACUUCUUUUAUAAGGGAAUAAAGUGCUUUACGUGUAGAGUUUUGUAUGUACCUUAUGAAUAAGCAUCGGCUAACUCCGUGCCAGCAGCCGCGGUAAUACGGAGGAUGCGAGCGUUAUCCGGAUUUAUUGGGUUUAAAGGGAGCGUAGACGGGAUGUUAAGUCAGCUGUGAAAGUUUGGGGCUCAACCUUAAAAUUGCAGUUGAAACUGGCGUUCUUGAGUGCGGCAGAGGCAGGCGGAAUUCGUGGUGUAGCGGUGAAAUGCUUAGAUAUCACGAAGAACCCCUAUUGCGAAGGCAGCCUGCUGGACCGUAACUGACGUUGAUGCUCGAAAGUGUGGGUAUCAAACAGGAUUAGAUACCCUGGUAGUCCACACGGUAAACGAUGGAUACUCGCUGUUGGCGAUA